GAGAGAGAGAGAGAGAGAGAGAAAGGAGAGUUAGAGAGCAGACAGCCUACAUCACAUUGCUACUGCCUGGGCCUUCUGCCUUCUCAUAACAUACACACCCUUCACACAGAGAGAUAAGAAGGUUGGCAGAGUAGGAGGAAAGCGGUAGGGAGGGAGAGCGAGAGAGAAUCAGAGACAGAUCGAGCAGAGAGAAAAAUAGACUGAGCGAGUCAGUCGGAGAGAGAGAGACGGAUAGAGAGAGAGGAGGUAGUUUAUACAGCAGUGAAGUGAACAGGGCUCAUCUGAAGGACAUAUCUGACACUCUCCUCUCAUCUGGUCACCCAGAGGAGCAGGGAGCUGAAGAGCGGAGAGGUGGCGUAUAUGAGCCAAACCCCCAGGCAGAGACAGUGGGGGAGACUGAAGGGCGUGGAGGUGGAGUAUAUGAGCCAAACCCCCAGGUAGAGACAGCGGGGGAGACUGAAGGGCGUGGAGGUGGAGUAUAUGAGCCAAACCCCCAGGCAGAGACAGCGGGGGAGACUGAAGGGCGUGGAGGUGGAGUAUAUGAGCCAAACCCCCAGGCAGAGACAGCGGGGGAGACUGAAGGGCGUGGAGGUGGAGUAUAUGAGCCAAACCCCCAGGCAGAGACAGCGGGGGAGACUGAAGGGCGUGGAGGUGGAGUAUAUGGGCCAAACCCCCAGGCAGAGACAGACAGAAAAGUAAGAGGACCUAUCAAUUUCCUAACAGUGAGUGUUAGAUACUGGGCUUCCUCCUGCUCUU